rnacentral:tRNA from 1 species
GGGGUUGUAGCUCAGCGGUAGAGCGCUUGCCUACAUUGUAAGAGGCACUGGGUUCAAAUCUCUGUACCA